rnacentral:sRNA from 1 species
CCACCACCAGUAACGAACUUUUUCCAGAAGGCUACAUGCCCUAAUCCUUUUAAUCCUUUCAAUUAGUGCCACUCACUAGUGAGUAAGCAUUACUGUAUAUGAAUGGCCUAUGGAGGCCAUUUUUAUUCAAAUAAUCACACCAGGUAAAAGUCAGGAUGGAGACCAAGAAGCAGGAUAAGAGCACAGGGGAAUGGGGAAGAGAUACCUGGACAUAGGCAGAGUACACCCUGGACAAAGGUUUAUCGAGAUAAGAAUCUGAAGGAAUUUUAACUGCAGAGGGAUCACAUAUCCACAGGGCUUUGCAUUCACUCUCUUCAUUUAGAAGCUGAUCACAGAAGCUCAGAGAUGGAAAGCGUACAAAGAUUGAUAAGCCCAAGGCCUUCAUGUUGCAGAGGAAAUAGCAAGGUGAUGUGCUUUCCCCAAGGACUCCCAUAAUGCAGAGCGGAAGCCAGAGGAGAGGAAUACAUGAUUCCCCACUCACCCCAGGGGGAGUUGGAGGCCCCACACACUCAUCAGGAAUAUGGUUUCAUACAUGGAUUUAGACUUUCUUGCGCAGUGAAAUUCCAUUAGGAAAUGAUCACAGCAUUAGUCUAAAUGAAAAGAGGCAACCAGAUAUUUAAAAUGACCGAGAGAGAGACACGAAGAACAAUGGCGUGAUACAGAGUAAGCAUGCCUAAUGCCGGGUGUUUAUUGGAGCCACAUAGGGAGCUUAAAGAAAUGCUGUGAUGACCCUUUACGUCCUACUAACUUCAUUAAUAUCAUUAGGUAAAGCUCUGGUAGAGAUCAUUAUACAAAGUUCCUAUGUGAUUUUGAUGUGCUAUCAGUGGUGUGUUAAGUGACUUGAGGCCAGUCACUUAAUCUCUCUGAAUCUUAUUUGUUUCGGAUGUGGAAGGAGCUGAUGGCAUUUAUUGUCCAAGGUUUCUGUGAGAUUAGAUGAAAUGAUGGCCAUGUUCUGUCUGACACAAAGCUUCUGUCAUGCAUUACCUGUCUCCUCUAUGAGGUCUUCAAUCAUGGAGGUGAUGCCUAAUAAUUCCCAGAUAAAAUUAAAGAAUGAUUUUUUUUUCCAACUUUCCGAGUUAAAGAACAAGGAAGGGUGCAUAGUGAAGAAGUGGUUGCUGGUUCACUGUGUCAUGGCCACCUCCUCAGAGCUCAUGGUGGGAGUUAUGGAGGAGGGGAGUCUCACAGCUGGUGUCAGGUGGUGGUAUCAUAUGUUGAUGGAGCAGUACAACAAACACGGUCACAAUGACACUAAGUCACAACCAAUCAUUGAUUUCUCAGUUUUCCUUUCAAUGCUUUAGCUAAAGUCAAGGACAGUUUACUUGUUAAUGCUUAUGCAAUGAUCUUGGAACCUUAAUGGAAUCUGACAUUGUUUCUGGUUCGUUCUGUUUGUGGCUGUCUUUCACUGACAUAUAAUGUGUCAGUGUCUGUAGGCCACAGUUGGACUGCAAGGAGAGCCAUGAGGUAAAGGAAACUCUUAAGUACACUUUGUAGGCCUGCCAAGUAGAUAGGGCACAGACCAGAAUGCUGGAUGUUUCUUGGGUUUGGGUUCUCGGGUUCUGGUUGUGGGAGACUAUAAUAGGAAUAUAUUCUUCCUGACCUCACUUUCCUUAACCCUAUGCACAGGAUUUCAUCCAAAUUAAGCAUGCCUGAUUAUCAAAGUUCUUGUGGCCUUCCGGUGGUAGACUUACUCAUCAAAGACAAGAAAUAUCAUAUAGUUAAAGGAAUGGAUAGGAAAUAAAAAUCGCUCUCCAAGAUCCUCUCCAUGAAAAAAUAAAAAACCUGUUGAUCACUGGUUCUCAGUCAAGUCAAUCCUGCCAGGAAACAUGUGCUUCUAUGAAGUCCCUUCUCUUGGUGAUGGUAAAUUUUAUAGUUCUGUGUCAAGGUUAGUGAUUCACCCUCUUUUUGGUCCUCUAGGGAAAUAUGAAGUAGAGGACAGAUUUGCUCCUAAAAAGUGGUACAGACUGUUAGUUGACAUAAAAUAGCAUUGAUUAGUGGAUUGGAUACAAAAUUGGAAACAGUACUCUGUCUGUUGCUCAAUAAACCUAACCCAGCAAGUUUGGAUCUGUAUAGCACAGAUGUGUAUUGGUUCAUUAGUGAUACUGGGAAGAUUUUCCAUUAUUCUCUGAGGUUAGGUGAGGCAGCAUGCAGAGCUCAAGGGAUGGAAUCAGAACUUUCUGCAAAGUCUUUCCUGAUAAGCACUGGUCUCUGAAAACUCUCAGUGGCAGUGGUUCUCAACCUUCCCAGUGCUGAGAACCUUUCAUACACUUCCUCAUGUUGUACUGACCCCCAACCCUAAAAUUGUUUUGCUGCUAAUCCAUAACUGUAAUGUUGCUACUGUUAUGAACUGUAAUGUAAAUAUCUGAUAUGUGACCCCCUGUGAAACAGUCAUUGGGCUAAAAGGGGUUGUCAGCCACAGGUGAGAACCACUGAUUUAAAGGCUCUUGAGAUUCAUUUCUCCCCUAUUCUGGUGGAUGGAAGACCUUAUUGGUCCGAGCCAGCCACUGUCUGUCUACUCUCUCUGUAUUUGCACCAUUGUUGCUUGGUUGGGUGGUCACUUUGCACUCUCAAGCAAGGCUGCGGUCUACCUCCUUCUCUUUUCCCAAUGCCCUCUCUGUAUCUGUCUUCCUUUGGCACAGCUUUCUGUCUCCUGUUCCCUGGGUGAGAAUGGUAAUGAAUCUGGAGAACAGAUUUGCAAUUUAAAUUCCACAGUCUUUUUUCUUUUCUCAAAGUCAAGUCAUUGUCCUAGACCCUUUCUUGCAAGUUGCAUAGUCUUUAUAAUGUUGUGGUAUCAACCUCAAUAAGGAAGAAACCAAGAUUCAGAAAAUGGCCUCAGAUAACUCUUCUAUAACUCACAAUGUUAAAUUAUUCUGCACUGGAGAAUGGUUUUCCUUUUCAAUACAGAAGAACUUUGGGGAAGAUUUCCCAGAGAGUCAAAGUAGUUGGAUAAGCAGCCUCCCUUGCUGAAGGCUGAGGAAAAUGCUGCUUAUCCAAAUCAAAUACUUUUGGCUCCACGGGUUUGGGAGAAUAUGAUGAGCUAGGGGCAAGUGGAUGCUUGGAUUGGAUUAGAUUCUAAUGUGGGUGAUACUUGAAUAACCUCAUGAAUGCACUGAGGAUCCUUGGGUCUAGAGUUAGAGGUGGAUCCAUGGGUCCUAUUCAGUGAGAUGUCUUAGCAAUGGUGGGUGGCCUAAAGGAUUAAUUAUUUGGAAGUUUCUGCAAAUAAAUGUUCCUUUAAGGAAAUAGAGUUUACUGGUUUGUUUGUUGUUUUCCCUUGUUAAUUCACUUACAUACUCAAUUAAAAAUAUUUUCUGAGUAUCAGCCAAGAGGCAGACCUUCCAAGCACCCAGGCCACACCAAGAAGACAUCAGAACGAGACCAGGUUUCCUGAAGCUGACUCUGGCAGGUCAAUGUUGAACAGAGAAAGAAUGAGCAAGAGACCAAGAUGGAUUAUUCCAAGAUGUGGCUAUGAAAUUAGGAGGGAGCGCUUUGGGUAAGACUACAGAAGAGUGAUUGCAGAAUGAGGGAUAAUAAGCUAACAUCGUCUCAGAAUACAUGGACCAAAAGAGAAGAAUCUGCUAAUGUCUCUCUGAACUCUGCAGCUGUGGCCAAGUUGCAUCCCAUCUGAGGGAACAAUACCUUCAACAAUGACACAGUACAUAUUCCUUGUUAAGUGUGGACUCUUGCUGCCUUUAGGGAGGCAAGUCUUAAGGACCUUGGCAUGCUUUUGAAGAUGGAGCAUUUGAAGAUGUAUUCUUGUUUAAGAGUCAAAGAAGAUCUGAACACUGUCCAAAUAGGUGAGGUGCUAGGAACAGGCAACGGAUCCCUGAAUGGAUGGAUGGAUCUGCCAAGGUCAGCCAUAGGUAUUGCCAGAUCCCUGUAGGAGAAGGAAUGUCAGAGGCAGCUUGCUGCACAAAGAAAAACCAAAAUGGCAGCACUAGUUCUGAUGGUGGUGUUUAGAAAACACACCUUGAAAAUGAUUCCCCUUUGUGAAGUCACAAUAAUACAAAGACACCAACCCUUUUACUCUGGGGAAUAGCUAUAAAGAACAAUCCUUAGUCGUGUGUAAGGUGCUUCUGUGGGUGCCAUUUUAUAUGAGCCACUGAAUGUGGCUCAGUUUAGCUCUGGUGGAAUCCUCAGCUCUCUUUUCUGAAGUGGCACCAUGGAAACUGGAGUCCCCAUAGGACAUCACAGUGUCCUGCCUUUAAAUGAUUCUGCAUGCAGCAGUCUUAGAAAUGAAAGAAGGAGGGGUUGAGGAGUCAUGACUCAAAAAUCCCCAUUAUGGGAAAAUUUCUGUUUCUCUGAUAAGCUUUAGAGUUCUCUAAAUUUUACGAUUAAAAAAGUUAAUAUUUAUGAUUAGGAAACAUUAUUUAAAGCAAAUCAUGGUCUUUCAGCUUCUGAAAUUCACCCAGGUGAUCAGACUAGCUGCCCAGCACAAGCUGACUGGUGGGAUUGCCUGGGUAACACCAGUUUGGCUGAACUCUGGGAUCCAGACCUCCAAGGCAACCUGCUCAGCACACCAGGCAGUGUUAGAGAACUUGCUGGAAGUGGUGUCCUACUUCUCUAAAUAGACACUUGGAAAUCUGUAGGCCUGCAGAGUGAAGCUGAAAAUACCAGUUCCUUUAGCAGAAAUGAGAUGAAUCUGAGCAUAUUAUUCCUCUUUUAAAGAGUUCAGUUUUAAUUAAUUGAUGCAAGCCUUUUUAAUGAAAUGUGGUACACAAAAUGGGGAAAUAUCCUACCUGCUCUAUCCAUUACAUAGCACUAGCAAUUUUUUCUCAGAGCCUUUAAAAUUGGAAAUGGGUAUUUAUUCCAACAUUGAUAUGUAAUGCACAUUUAGACUAUUGAAAUUUCUUUUCUAAAAUGAUGUCUUUUCAGUCUGAAUAAUUAAAAAAUGUCAACUCAUUAUAAUUUUUUAUGUGAGUAGUGUUGGGGAUGGAACCUAGGGUGCCCCACGUUCUAACACAGUCACUUGCCAUUGAGCUCUACCUACCCUUAUCCCUCAGGAAACUUUCCAACCUUAUCUACAGUGAAAAAAACAUUGUUCCAGCAGCUUCUUGGCAGUUCUGGCAGAUCAUGAAAUCAGGUUUUCUUGUGGAAGAUAGGGAUGCAUUCCCAGCUUGAAUCCAGUCAUCAUGGGAGGUUGGGCAUUUCCAGAUUGGCUUCUUCAGUUUUUGAACACAAUAUCCAGUUAGAUACAUGAAUUGGAAGAUGUUGCAUGGGUGGUAUGGAGUGAGUCAUCCAGCGCCCUGAACGGGACAUCUGUGCUUCUUUAUGUGAGAAACAUUCGUUGCUGCAGUCUCCGAUCCCCCCACAGUGCUGCUGUCCCCACCAUGAUGGAUCUGUACCCUCACACUGUAAGCCUGAGUAAAUCCUUGUUUCUUGAAGUUGUUUCUCGCUAUGGUUUCGGUCACAGUGAUGAGAACAGGAAAUUGGUGCCAAGAAGUAGAAUCAUUGUUAUGACUGAGCCUGACCAUGUGGGCUCA